GCAGCGGCGAGGCCCCGGACGCCCGCAUCCAGCCCGCGAGCGACCGAGCGGACCUCCGCGCAGAGGCCGCGGCACGGCGCCCCCCCGGCCCAAUCUUCUGACCCAAGGGAGAUGAAAAGGAUGCCCACCCUCAGGACUGCAGAGCCUGCAGGUGCACAGACUCGCUCAAAGGUUUCUGAACCCAGUGGAUGUACAGUGCAAUUCAGCCACCUGGGGAUGACGCUGGUGACAUGUGUCCUGGAAUUACACGCUUAGUGCUGUGCAGGAUGCUGGGGAUUCUCAGGAAGGCCUUGGCCUUGGCAGGGUACUACGGAGUCUCACAGCCUGGAUGCCACAGGGGACCUGGCCAUGCCUCCCCAGGAGGGCAGAGCUCGCCAGCCUCGUGGGAAGUUUUGUGAGAUCUCCGCCAGCUCCUGGGGUCCCUCAGAAAUGCCUCGAUCACACAGGGCACCAGGUGAGAAAAUGUGCUCAUGAACAAAUCGCCGACACCCAGCGUGCCCGCGUCCCACAGUGACCAGUUGCUCACGGAGACAUCGGCCAGUGCGCUGCAGGAGCAGCAGCAGCUCCCUCCCGGCUUAACCCGUGCUGCAUGGCCCCUCUGCGAAGCAACCCGGCCAAGGCCCAGCUCACCUGCAGGCUGGGCCAGGAAGCCUGGCUCCCUAGACGCAGAGUCCUGUUGCGGCUGGGAUUUAGGUGCUUUUAACCUGAAAAUGGUGCAUAUCCUGUCAGCACUGCAGAAGAACUCGAGGACCUCUUGGCCUGGGCUCAAUCUGGAGUAUUUGGGAACUUGGAGAAUGGAGGUAAGGGGCAUUCUCCUCCUGAGCCUGUGGCAGCAAAAGCAGCUUCUGGAAUUGAUGGUCUCUGCAGCACAACUUGCAGGGUAGGCCCAGAAUUCUUGGCGCAUCUUCUGGUGCUCCAAGGUGCCGGGGAAGCUGGCUGCUCAUAACUCGCCCUGACAUCGUUCUCAGCAUCUGAUCCACUUGGACACAGUGCCUACCGCCCUCUCUCUGCCUGUUCCUAGCCGGGAGGAGCCUACUGGCCUUUGGGGACAUUCCCUACCCUGUGUAGCUGUCCUGCUCUGCCCCGUCCACGCUACCUCGGGAGAAGAGAAGGCAGGUGGGCACUGCAGGGGCAGGCAGGGUCACCUCGUGGAGCAUCUAGAAUGUGCACUUGCUCCCCCAGCACACCCCUCCCCCGACUCUGCUCCUGGCUGAGCCCUGCCCCCAUCAAUUGCUCCAGCUGUACGAAGUCUGUGAAGUCUGCGGCUGUCUGCAGUGAAGGAAAGGGGUGAAGCCCUGGGGAUUCUGGGGGACCAAGGCUUUCCCGUUUUUCUGCUUGUCUUACCUUGGACAGAUGGCUCAACUUCACCAAGCCUCGUUUCUGCGUAUCUAGACUAGGACGCAUCAGUGCCUGUCUCACGAGAUUGCUGCAGGCACUGAAUGAGAAAGCUUGGACAUCGAGCUUAGCUGGCUUCCUGGCACGGGGAGGAAAUGCUCCAAACCGGGAAGGGGUGUUUUGUGUAUUAAUUUCCAGUUGAUUAAUUAUGCCCAUUGGAGUUCCUUGUAUGUGCAGCUCAUCUCCAAGUGUUUGGUCCGCUGUUCUGUCUGCUGAGAACCAUCACGUCAGCCUGGGCGACAGCUUGUGAGUCCCCUUCCCAGCUACUCUGGUCCUCGUCCCAAGCAGUGGCCCCCGCACAGCACAGCAGGCAGCAGAAGGCCUGGCUACUGCACUGGGUUGAAGUUUCUUUUGCAUCGGCCCCGCCCGUCCCCUGUCCUUGGGGCACUGGGGAGCAUGUUUAGAGCAAGGACGCUCUUACAUGUCCUAGCACAGGCACAGGCCCUGGUCCGGAUGGGCCUUGCAGUGGGGAUGCUGGACGAACAUUAGGAGAGAGGGAAGCGGGAGGGAGGGAGAGAGAACCCAGAGGAGGGUGUUAAAGGUUCAGAGGAACGAACGCAGUCAGUUUCGAGUUUUUUCUGUUUUUAAAUAAGAUGUUGGAAAGAAUAAAUAACUGUGAAAUCGAAGAAAAUUGAAACUAAUGUGAUUUCUACCACAAAUUUGAAGACUAGGCCAAGAUGGACAGGGGUGAGAGUGCGCUGACGGAGUGAAGUGUCGGGAAGGACAGAGCAGAGGACAGUGCAGAGCUGGGCGCGCACACCCCGAUGGUCGCCUUUGCACUGCCAGUCCCAUCCGAGCUAGGGUUCCCGUGAGACGGGGUGGCGUGUGUGGUUCCUGUCCCGCCAUCCAGGGGCCAGGGCCAGGGCCUCACACGGGGUGCUGCACAUGCCCCAGCUGCAGUCCUCCCUGUGCCUUUGGGAUUGGUUCUAGGAGCCCAAGGACACCAAAACCUGUCGUGGCACAGGCCCCUGGCGUAAAGCGGCACAGUAUUUGCAUAUAAUCUGCGCACAUCCUCCUGAGUACUUUAAAUACCUCCAGGUCACUUCUGUGCAUGGUGCAGGGUAAAAGCUGUAUGAAUAGUUGUUCCAUUGUAUUACUUUGAGAAUAACGAGGAGACAAAAGGCCUCAGUGUUCAGUGUGGGUGCAGUGUUUCCCUGAACAUCCCCAGUCGAUCGAUUGUAGUUGGCUGAAUCCACCAAUGCAGAACCCGUGGAUAGAGAGGGCAAAUUACCCACGAGGACCAGGAUGGCCCAGGGGGCUGUGUGGAGAGAGAGCCUCUCUGGCCCUGCUACACUCGCAGUUCCCCCUGCCUUUCAUUUCGCUACCUGAUUUCCUGCUUGGGGUCCUGGGGUGGGGGGUGUCCAGACCUCUCAGUGUGCAGCACACAGGUGUGGGAGCACUGAGUGCCCUGCGUGGGCCAGCAGGGACCCAGCUGGUCCCAGAGCUGUGUUUCAGGGUCACACUCCUGGCCUGGGCAUCCAGCUGUGGGGCAGCAGCGCUGUAAAUAUGCGUCGGCCUUUUCUGCCACCGCCGUCCCGGCCACAGCUGGAGGCUGGGAGAGCUGCUCAGGCUGGAAGAAAGGGCAGGGUGGUCCAGGCAUGUGCAGUGCGGCUGGAAGCUGAAGGGUGGUCCCUUGGAGCCAUGGCUGCGGCAGUGGGAAGCAGGGGCUGUGGCCUGUGACCAGUGGGGAGGCUUGGCAAGUCCGCCGCCAGGGUGAAAGCAGAGGAACCCCCAGGACUCAGCUCCCAGGAGCAGGGCGACAGUGCAGAGGUGGCCGCAGUCCCAAGCGUGUCCUGGGCAGGGCUGGGCUGUGACGCCCUGAGAAAAGCUGGGUCAGCCCAUGUGUGCCGAAGACGUUUCUGAGAGAUGUGCCCAGCUCUGCCUCCUGCACCGUGUGGCCAUGGCGAGUGCAGCCCUGUGCUUUGCCCAGCUGCAGGUGGACGGACACCUGCUCGGCGCGGCUGAGGCUCAUGGAAGUGGAUGGUGAGUGUGUGCCCUCAUGUUCUCCUCCAGCCCUGGACCUGUCUAGCCAUGGCAUCUAGGUGUCAUCCUCUGACUCCGCCCCUCCUUGACCACACUGCGCAGGGCUUCUCCCUCUGGCUGUGCUGGGGUUUGAGUGAGCUCCUCCAAACUCUGGCGCUGGAGCCUAGUCUCAGGUGUUCUGCAGCAAGAGGAAACAGAUAAAGACAGUUGGCAUCGUCAUUUAUUUGCUUUUUUGGAGAUAGGGUGUCACUGCAUAGCCCAGGCUGGCCUCCGACUCUUGGCAUCGUCCAGCCUCAGUCUCUUGAAUGCUGGGCUACAAGCGUAUGCUACCACACUGGUGUAGCGUCUUCUCUCUGGACCCUCCCCUUGCUUUGGGCCUGCGCUGCCUGGGUCGUUUCUCUUGGCCUCUGAGUGCUGUUCCCAGGCUGGGUCCCGCUGGCCUGGGUGAGAGGGCGUCAGCUGGCCCCCACGUCCCGUCUGUGGAUGCGAGCCGCCCUGGUCUUCAGCUGCAGGGGCCACUGCUCAGGGUUGCGCCCUGUGCUCAGUGUGUGGCGGCAGAAGUCCCAGCCCCCUCGGAAUUCCGCACUUGAGACAGAAACGUCUUCUGACAGGGCUCUGCUGUUGGCCCCUUUCUCUAUUACUGUUUCUUGUGGUUUCAUGUUGAGGUUUUUGGCGCAUUGCAUUUGACCUGGAGUUUCUUUUUAGCAGUAAAGACAGAGUUCAGUUAAUGUCAUGCCGAUCCAGAGGAGGGAUUCAUAAGUCUAGGGGAAAACAUGCCUAACUUUAUUUCUGCUGAUGACAUCUGUCCCCAGGCAUACACGGUCACACUGCGGGCAUGGCACUGGCUCAGUGGUGCCCAGCACGGGCUCUACAGUGGCAGGAGCAGUGGCCAGGCCACCCGAGCACAGGAGGGUUUCUGGGUCUCAGGUCGUGGGAUUCAGCUGCGGUGUUGUCAGGCUCGUUCUGCCCGCCAGCUCUGUCUCAGGAGGAGCAAGCACUCUGGCGAAGGCCAGGUCUUCUCCCCGGGCCCACGCGUGUGGAGAGAUCUGUGGUCCUUUCUCUGCAGCCAUCUCUGGCCUCGGGAUGGUGCAGGGGACAUGCGUAGGGACCACUUUCUUGGGCUGACUGAAUCUCAGGACUCUGCGGUCUCUGAUGCAGACGCCCCUCCUUCAAGGAGGCCUGUCUGCCUGGAGAGACACAGUGAGCCCAACCAUCUGAAGCAUUCCUCAUCCUUCUGCCCCGUUUCCUCUCUGGAGCGUUUAUUCCUCAUUGAGCCUGCAUCUCCCGAGGCGCUAAGUUCCUAUGGAGUGAAGGGGGCAGAUCCUCCAUUGCACCGGGGAAGCAGCUGGCCGCUCCGAGGGGCCUGACAGGCCUAGACCCUUCCCUGCUGCUCCCGAAUCUCGUCCUUGCCCCUGGUUGGCCCGGCCUCAUUUCAGGCUUGUCCCCGCCACUCUUCCCCAGCUGAGCCUCCCCGCUCCCUGUCUCUCCUUCUCUGCCUUUCUCAUCUCUAUUUUUCUGCCCCCUCCAGCUCUGUCUCUGACCUCGGGGAUGUUUCUCUCUGCCGUCCUUUCGUGGGAAGGAGUCUGGGCUCAUGGGGCUGUGCUUGAGUUCCUGUCGGGUGGGGUCUUGGUCUCCCCAAAUCCACCUCCCGGCACCUUGUGUGGUGACUGGACUGGCAGGAUGUACCAGUUCCCUCCCUGCCCUUGCCCCUCUCCUGCUAGGAGAAGCCAACAGAAUGAAUAAACGAUCUCUGGCGGUAAAAGCUUUAAUGUAGAUGGCCACAUUAGUCAUUAGAGAAGUGGAACCCGUGCAAGAUGAAGAUAGACACACACUUCCUUCCGUACCGUAUCUAAGGGUCUGUGUCUCUAUCCACAUCUCCAUCUGCACAUCUGCUUGGCGAGAAGUUUACUGGAAGCAUCGGCUCAGUUAUGCAGGAGGCUGAAGUCCAGCAUAUGUCCUUGCUGUGUUUUCUUCCAUCAUUACGGCAUGCUCUGAGCUCACCGUUUACAUUUCCUGGGAGUCAGCCAUUUCUCCCCAGAGCCCUGCUCUGUUUUGUUGGAGAAUAGCAGUAGAAACCACUGGCUUGCUACUGCUCAGGCGUGAUUGCGUGUAGACACUCUCAGCUGGCAGAGCCGUGACUUGUGUGGGGGUGUGUGUGUGUGUACACUAGCACCCGCCUCUCUGCGUGUGAAGCUGGGUUCACACUGAGGCCCCGACCUAAUUUAUCACCAUGUCCCACACACUUUCUAAAUGACUUCCUGUGUUUGCCUGCCAUGUCAGCGGAAGACCCUGAAUGGAGAGGUCAGAAAGUCCAUGCGGGCAGAGGGCUACCGGCUGAGGACACUGGACUCUUCUCCAUGGCUCACCGCCUCGUGGAGCGGAAGUCCCGUUUAACCAGGAGGAAACACGUGGGCCCUGGCCUCCUCUGGCCCCGGCCUCAUGCGCCAGACACCGCCACCUUCCUGAGCCCAGGACCGGGUUCUGUGCCCGGCGGGGCCCACCCCAGGUCUCUUGGCCAGGGCUGUCAGACUCACUGUCUAAGGCCCAGACCUGCGAGAGAACGGGGCGCUGUGGGCCCCGGGGCAGGGUCUGGGAGCCCGGCUUGCUGUGCUGGCCUGGCUGUGGCUGCUGCUCUCGUCUGCCUGGGCCCAUGUCUGACAGUCGCCUCUGUGUGUGCCCAGCCCUGAGGGGACCGUGGCUGGCCUGCGGCCCAGGUGGCCACACCUAGUUGUUGACAGGAAAACUAAAGGCUCAGAGCAGCGGGCCUUGCUCCUUCCUGUUCGCCACUUGGCCCGAGUGUCACUGCCCCAGCCCUUACCUGGACAGCGCUGUCGCGGGAGAAGCAGGUACCGGUCCUCAGUGGGGCUUUGCUGACCCACACUCCCCACCAGCUCCAGCGUGCUACUGUCAGAGGUGACGCCGCAGCAUGGCCCGGCCCCCAGCUCUGAUAAUCCUGCCCCACCCCAUCUCAAGGGUGGUUACUUGCUUUCUAUAGCUGCUGCUUCUCCCAUGCUUCCCUGUCCCCCCUUUGCCUUUUCCAUUUCCGGUUUACACUUCACUCUUUGUCUGAAAUUCCGGACGUUAAAGCUGCCUGGAGUCUUGAUGAGCCCCGGUGAACGUGCGGUUCCUACCAUGGCUCCUGGGCUCACCUGAGCAUCAAGCAGGUCUUCAGCUUGUUGCCUGAAGGCCCAGAGACCUGCUACCUGUGCUGCCACCUGCGGCAUCUCCCUUCCCCAUGGCCCUGUGCCGGGAGCCCUGGUUACCGACUUCAGCCCUUGGUGCGGUGGCCCACAGCUCACAGGGUCGCCAGCAGCCCCCGUCCCCACAACCUACUGGGCAUGCAGUUGAUGCUUUGGGUUUUCCACGGUGGACAGCGAUCCCCAGGGUGCACAGGGCUCCAUGGCCUCUUGGGUCUGGAGGGGUGGAAACAGCCCUGUCAGAGGGCACAGAGGCUGAGCUCACAGGGGAAGGAAGGCUGCUGGGGAGACUCGGGCUGCAGCUUCUUGGGGGUUUCCCCCACGCUGGGCUGGGCCCCAGCAGUCACUGACACACUCCCAGGCUUGAGACUCUGCUACCUGCUCACCUCUGCCCCUCACACACAGAGCACGGAACAUCUGCCUACAGAGCAAAAGUAAUUCUCCUUCCAUGGCUUUCUCCUCUUCACGCCUGAGUCUGUUUGGGCUGCUGUAACAGAAUUCUGUAAGUGCUGUGGCUUAUUAACGACAGAAGUUUGUUUCUUACAGUUCUGGAGCCUGGAAGUCCAAGACAGCGUGUGGGCAGAUGGUGUCUGCGAGCCUGCUUUCUCCCUGUGUGCUCCCACAGUGGGAGAGACAAGGGAUGCCUGGGCCUCUUUAAUAGAGCAUUAAUCUCCCUCCCCAGCGCUCGGCUCAUAACCCUCCCACUGCUCAGUUCCCACCUCCACUUGCCACCUUGGGGGUGGUGUCCAGCAUUCGAAUUCUUCGGGACACAAGCAUUCAGGUCAUCGCAGCCCCUUACCACACCACACAGUGUCACUCAGCUGAGCUCACCCUCCUGACCACGCGUUUCAGCAAUCCGUGUCACUCUGGAGCUGAGGUGUUACGUUCCUUGGGGUCAAAAGUGACCUACCAUGACUCAUGAGCUUUCCAGGAGUUCUUGUGAUCAUGACCAUGAGGGUGAUCAGAUGUUUAGCAGCUGGCUUUUGUGCAUGGGUUACAUUUUUCUUAUGUGUUCCUCAUUCUCAUUCAGUGGGGUGUGUGGAUGUGCUCCUUUUCUGGGGCUGCCAACCAGGUUCCCCCAAACCAUACAGAUGUAUUCUGCAUUCUCUCUCAGGUGGAGUGGAGGCCAGAAGUCUGAUGGUGAAGUGUCCUUAAGACCGUUCCCGCCAGAGAUGCUUGGGAAGGAUCUGCUCUUCCGCUCUCAUCCUUCUGGUGGCCUGGGGCAGCCCUUGGUGCCCCCGAGUUUAUGGCUGCCACACUCCGCUCUCUGCCCAUCGUCAUAUGGCCUUCUCUCCUGUGUGUCCCUGUGCAGAAUCCCUCUUCGUGUAGGAAUCAGGACUCCUUUAUCCAACAUGAAUGCAGCUAACCCUGACUGCAGUCACAAGAUCCUGUUUCUGAGGUUACAUUUGCAGGUGCCGGGAUGGUUGGCCUGCAGCAGGGAGAAGAACAUGCCAAAACUUCUAUUUCUGUUUAUUUCUUUUCUGCAAAAUGUCUUUCUUUUUUUCAUGUUUUAAGAUAAUGCAAGCAUCCAUAUAUAUAAAUGAUAAGCAGAUUAGCACAUCUGAGGGCUCUGUGCUGAGGACCUACUUAGAGGAGGAAACAGCCGGGCCUGGCUUCUGAGCAGCUCCGUGUUCUUGUGCUCUGGCUGCCCUGACCCAGUAUCAUGGGCUGGGUGUCUGCAGCAGCCAGUGAUUUUCUCAGCUCUGCCUGCUGGGAAGUCCAGGGCGUGGCUGGCUGGCUUUCUGGUGGGGGUUCUCUUCUUGCCUUGUCGCCGUCUGCCUCUUGCUGUGUCUCUACCCUGACAGAUUGAGACCCCAGGUCCCCACUUAACCACGUGACCCUCGGGAGGGCCCGUGUCCAGGAGUUGCAUGGGAGUUGGGACCUGAGCGUACGGAUGUGGGAGAAGACACAGUUCAGUCCACUCAGGCUCCGUCUGCUGUUAGCAGCUAGGUUCCCUUGGUGCUUGGGAAUCAGUGAAAACUUAAAACCUACUGCGGUGGCUAGAAUAUCACUUGACUUCCAAGUAUACCUUUUUCCUAUUCUCACUUUUUAAAAGCCUCCUCCCCUUUUUCUUGUUAAAAUUUGUAGAUGGAUGACUUGGCAAGUUAAUUGCCCUCUCUGCCCCUGUUUUCUAAGCGGAGACAAAGCCUAUCUACAAAAUCAUUUGGGAGAGUAAAUGAGAUUACUAAGCAUGUGUUCAGUAGCUGUGGGCUGUUUUCCCUCUGCAGGGCCGGCCUUGCUCUUGCCCAUGUAGCUUGAGAGGGUUCUGGUGGGCAUUUAGUGUGAGGGUCACUUUAGACAGCAUUAUCCCCGAGGCCUUCCUGAACCCUGUCCUGUGGGUACCAAACUGUCAUUGUGUCUUUUGUACACAGGUCAGUAUUAUUUGCCUGCCUGCCUCCCUCCUUUUUUUUUUUUUUUUUUUUCUUUCUUUUCUUUCUCUGUGCUAGAGAUUGAAGGGCCUCCCCCAGCUUCUUUCUUUUUUACUUCAUGCCAGGUCUUGUUAAGUUGCUCAGGCUGGGCUUGAACUUUCUUUUCUUUUUUUUAUUUAAAGGAGGAGAGGUUUAUUU